UUCCCUCUUGCCCUUUCCAUCAAUUUCCCCUUCCCUCCCCUUCCCCUUCGCCAUUUCCGUCACCGCCGCCCCCUCCCCCUUCUCUCUCUCUCAACGACGAGCGGCGCCGCUGACUCUCCAGAGCUCCGGCCACACAGAUCCGCCGCCGCCUCAAGUCUACAACCUCUGCUGUGCUGCCGUCGCCUCUCCUUCGUCGGUGGAUGGUUCGGACCCCACCACCGCCGUUCACCGCCGCUCCCCUCACCCUUCUCUCUCUCUCAAUGACGAGUGGCGCCGCUGACUCUCCAGAGCUCCGGCCACACAGAUCCGCCGCCGCCUCAAGUCUACAACCUCUGUUGUGCCGCCGCCGCCUCUCCUUCGUCGGUGGAUGGUUCGGAGCCCCCACCGCCGCCGUUCUCCGUCUCCGCCGCCGCCUAUAAGUAUAAGCUCUUGAUUUAGGGUUCUUCAUUUGCAGAUCUUGAUUUAGGGUUUUC
rnacentral:lncRNA from 1 species